UACACAGUCUCCAUGGACCCGCCAGUUCUCCGACUCUCCCCAGACCCAGAGGAUGCGAGUCAAGGCACCCCGAACCCUCCUCCUGCUGCUCUCGGGGGCCCUGACCCUGACUGAGACCUGGGCGAGUCAGUGCUGGGUCGGAGGAAACGGCCUCUGCGGGGGGCGGAGCGAGGGGACCGCGCGGCGGGGACGCAGGACCCCCGGGGAAGGCUUCCACUCCCUGAGGCAUUUCAAAACCGUCGUGUCCCGGCCCGGCCGCGGGGAGCCCCGCUUCAUCGCCGUCGGCUACGUGGACGACACGCAGUUCGUGCGGUUCGACAGCGACGCCGCGAGUCCGAGGAUGGAGCCGCGGGCGCCGUGGGUGGAGCAGGAGGGACAGGAGUAUUGGGAGGAGCAGACGCGGAACGUCAAGGACACCGCACAGAAUUUACGAAUGGAACUUAACACCCUGCGCGGCUACUACAACCAGAGCGAGGCCGUGUCUCACACCUUCCAGUGGACGCACGGUUGCUACGUGGGGCCAAAUGGGAGCCUCCUCAGCGGGUACAGUCAGUACGCCUACGACGGCGUGGAUCACCUCUACCUGAACGAGGACCUGCGCUCCUGGACCGCGGCGGACACGGCGGCUCAGAUCACCCGGCGCAAGUGGGAGGCGGCAGGUGCAUCUGAACAGCACAAAAACUACCUGGAGGGCACGUGCGUGAAGUGGCUCCGCAGAUUCCUGGAGAACGGGAAUGAGACGCUGCAGUGCGUAGACCCACCAAAGACAUAUGUGACCCACUAUGCCAUCUCUGACCACGAGGUCACCCUGAGGUGCUGGGCCCUGGGCUUCUAUCCUGCGGAGAUCACCCUGACUUGGCAGCGUGAUGGGGAGGACCUGACCCAGGACACCGAGUUUGUGGAGACCAGGCCUGCAGGGGACGGGACCUUCCAGAAGUGGGCGGCUGUGGUGGUGCCUUCUGGAGAGGAGCAGAGAUACACGUGCCAUGUGCAGCAUGAGGGGCUGCCUGAGCCCCUCACCCUGAGGUGGAAGCUGCUUCCUGAGUCCAUCAUCCCCAUUGUGGGCAUCAUUGCUGGCCUGGUUCUCCUUGCAGUUGUGGUCACUGGAGCUGUGGUGGCUGGAGAUGUGAUCCGGAGGAAGAAGCACUCGGGUGGAAAAGGAGGGAGCUACACCCAGGCUGCAGGCACAAGUGGGAGGUGGCAGGUGUGGAGCACUGCAGAAACUACCUGGAGGACACGUGCAUGAAGUGGCUCCUCAGACGCCUGGAGAAGGGGAAGGAGAUGCUGCAGCGCAUAGGUACAAGGGGCUGCGGGGCCUUCCCAAUCUCUUCUCAGGCUGGGUGCCUCUUACAAGGAGAGGAAGAAAAUGGGGUGACACCAGAACUUAGUUGAGAGAAUAAGUCCAUCUAGGUUUUCAGAUCUGGUACAAGAGAGUGACUCCCCCAGAGGAACUGCCUUUCUCUCAAGGACUAUUAAUGGGUCCAGUCUCUUCAGGGAUGGAGGGGGAAGCCAUCCCUAAAAUAACUGAUAGUUGGUUCCCUUUGACUCUGGCAGAGGCUCUGGGACUCUCUCCCUCAGGCCUUGUUCUCUCCCUCACACCCUAUGUGUUUGAGGUCUGACUCCACCUUUUCUGAGUCACUCAGCCUCCACUCACAAACCCUUUUUAUCCCCCUAAGAGAUCUGCCUCAUACUUUGGGCUGUCUCACCCUGAUUCUAGAACUUUCCAAACAAUAGAUUAUCCCAGAUGCCUGUGUCCAGGCUGGUGUCUGGGUUUUGUGCUCCCUUCCCCCACUCCAUUGUCCUGUCUAUUCUCAAGAUGGCCACAUAAAUGCUGUUUCAGUGGCCCAAGAUAGAUGCAAAGUUCCUGAAUUUUCUUACCUUUCUUCUCAGACCCCCCCAAAAAUACAUAUGACCCACUACCCCAUCUUUGACCAUGAGGUCACCCUGAGGUGCUGGGCCCUGAGCUUCUACCCUGCAGAGAUCACCCUCACCUGGCAGCAUGAUAGGACGGACCUGACCCAGGACAUGGAGCUUGUGGAAACCAGGCCUGUGGGGGACGGGACCUGCCAGAAGUGGGCAACUGUUGUGAUGCCUUCUAGAGAGGAGCAGAGAUUCACAUGGCAUGUGCAGCAUGAGGGGCUUCCUGAGGCCAUCACCCUGAGAUGGGGUAAGGAGGAAGAUGAGGGGGUAGCCUCUUCUCAGGCAAAGCAGCAGCCCCUCUGGAAAACUUCUGCAGGAUCGAGGUUGAGGCCUUGGGAUCAGGACCCUCACCUUCCCAGAGCCACCUCCUCAGCACAACAUCCCAAUCAUGAGCGUCAUGCUGGCUUGGUUCUCUUUGUGGUCAUUGUUACCACUGGAGCUGUGAUGUGAAGAAAGAAGCCCUGAGCUAGGUAAGGGAGGGGGGAUCUGAAGUUUUCUUUUCAAGCCCAGGUAGAAGUUUGCCCUGCCUCCUUAAUGGGAACUACCAUCCACAUACAUGUGCUUGCUCAGUCUGGGGCCCUAUUUGCUAACACUUCCUCUUUAUUAAUGCACACAUAAAAAUGAAGGACAAACUUAUCACAUUGAUGAGUCUGGUGAUGGGGACCUGAUUCCCAGAAGUCACAGGACAGAGAGGAAGGUUGCUAUGAGGACAGACUUCCAGUGGGUGGUUGAUCCAUUCCCCAAUAUGUACUAUCCUCAUGUUUCAUGAUGCUAUCCUGGAUCUGUAGUCACAGUUCUGGAAACUUCUCUGGGGUCUAGGAGUAGGGGGUUCCUUUAGGAACUCAUGGCCCUGCCCCCUCCCUGGCUUCUCACAGGAUGGUUUCUUCCCACAGGUGGAAAAUGAGGGAGCUAUGCUCAGGCUGCAAGUAGGUUUGAGUGUGGAGUGAUCUCUGAGACCCUUGUGAUAGUGUAGACGGAAGCCCAUGGGUGGAGCUCACCCACCCCAUAGUUCUCCUUUAGUCUCAUCUCCUGUGGGCUCUGACCACAUGCUGUUUUUGUUCUUUCCCAGGAAGUGACAGUUCCCAGGGCUCUGAUGUGUCUCUCACGGCAGCUACCUUGUGGGAAACUGAGUGAUGCAAGAUUUGUUCAUCCCACCUCCAAUGUGACUUCAGGAACCUCUGACUUCUCUUUCUGCAAAGGGCAUCUGAAUGUGUCUGCAAUCCUAUUAGCAUGAUGAGAGGAAAUGGGGAGACUGGUCUCCCCCGCACCCCCCUCCCUCCGCUGACCUGUGUUCUCUUCCCUGAUGGACUUUCCUGUUCCAGCAGAGGUAGAGCUGGGCCAUCUCUAUCCCUGUCUUUACUUUGUGUUACACUGACCUGCAACUUCUUACUUCCUUGUUGAGAAUAAAAAUCUGGAUAUGAAUUUGCUUUUUCAAAUUCUUGCCAUGAGGCAUUGAUGGGUUAAUUAAAGAAGAAGAUUCCUAAAGUUUG